rnacentral:rRNA from 1 species
UAGGGCGGUUUGUUCACGUUUUCUUGUGAAAAACUGGGAGGGUUCAACCUCCCAGCUUGCAAGUGGGUUACGGGCCAGAUUAGGGUUCCGGUAGGGGGAGAUUGGAAUUUCCUGGUGUAGCGGUGGAAAUGGGCAGAUAUCAGGAGGAACACCAAUGGCGAAGGCAGAUCUCUGGGCCGUAACUGACGCUGAGGAGCGAAAGCAUGGGGAGCGAACAGGGAUUAGAUACCCUGGUAGUUCCAUGCCGUAAAACGUUGGGAACUAGAUGUAGGGACCAUUCCACGGUUUCUGUGUCGCAGCUAACGCAUUAAGUUCCCCGCCUGGGGAGUACGGCCGCAAGGCUAAAACUCAAAGGAAUUGACGGGGGCCCGCACAAGCGGCGGAGCAUGCGGAUUAAUUCGAUGCAACGCGAAGAACCUUACCAAGGCUUGACAUAUACCGGAAAGCUGCAGAAAUGUAGCCCCCGCAAGGUCGGUAUACAGGUGGUGCAUGGUUGUCGUCAGCUCGUGUCGUGAGAUGUUGGGUUAAGUCCCGCAACGAGCGCAACCCUCGUUCUUUGUUGCCAGCACGUAAUGGUGGGAACUCAAAGGAGACUGCCGGGGUCAACUCGGAGGAAGGUGGGGAUGACGUCAAAUCAUCAUGCCCCUUAUGUCUUGGGCUUCACGCAUGCUACAAUGGCCGGUACAAAGGGCUGCAAUACCGUAAGGUGGAGCGAAUCCCAAAAAGCCGGUCUCAGUUCGGAUUGAGGUCUGCAACUCGACCUCAUGAAGUCGGAGUCGCUAGUAAUCGUGGAUCAGCAACGCCACGGUGAAUACGUUCCCGGGCCUUGUACACACCGCCCGUCAAGUCAUGAAAGUCGGUAACACCCGAAGCCAGUGGCCCAACCGCAAGGAGGGAGCUGUCGAAGGUGGGAUCGGUAAUUAGGACU